UGGGGAAUAUUGGACAAUGGGCGAAAGCCUGAUCCAGCCAUGCCGCGUGUGUGAAGAAGGUCUUCGGAUUGUAAAGCACUUUAAGUUGGGAGGAAGGGCAUUAACCUAAUACGUUAGUGUUUUGACGUUACCGACAGAAUAAGCACCGGCUAACUCUGUGCCAGCAGCCGCGGUAAUACAGAGGGUGCAAGCGUUAAUCGGAAUUACUGGGCGUAAAGCGCGCGUAGGUGGUUUGUUAAGUUGGAUGUGAAAUCCCCGGGCUCAACCUGGGAACUGCAUUCAAAACUGACUGACUAGAGUAUGGUAGAGGGUGGUGGAAUUUCCUGUGUAGCGGUGAAAUGCGUAGAUAUAGAAGGAACACCAGUGGCGAAGGCGACCACCUGGACUAAUACUGACACUGAGGUGCGAAAGCGUGGGGAGCAAACA
rnacentral:rRNA from 1 species